AGCUUUGUGCAGUGGCAGUAUUGUAGCCAAUGAGGUUUAUCUGAGGCGCGAUUAUUGCUAAUUGAAAGAGGUGUAAUAAAAAUGGUGACAUUUGAUUGUCGUUAGUGAAUAAUAGUGGAAAUUCUGGGGCUGAGGUAGCUUG
ensembl:snRNA U4 U4 spliceosomal RNA